GGGCCCGCACAAGCGGUGGAGCAUGUGGUUCAAUUCGAUGCAGAGCGAAGAACCUUACCUGGGCUUGACAUGCAGGAAGUAGAAACCGGAAACGGGGACGACCUGUUAAGUCAGGAACCUGCACAGGUGGUGCAUGGCUGUCGUCAGCUCGUGCCGUGAGGUGUUGGGUUAAGUCCCGCAACGAGCGCAACCCUCACUCUAUGUUGCCAUCGGGUAAUGCCGGGCACUCUUAGGGAACUGCCGGCGAAGAGCUGGAGGAAGGGGGGGAUGACGUCAAGUCCGUAUGCCCCUUAUGUCCAGGGCUACACACAUGCUACAAUGGCCGAUACAGAGGGUUCCCAACCCGCGAGGGGGAGGCAAUCCCACAAAGUCGGUCUCAGUUCGGAUUGCAGGCUGCAACUCGCCUGCAUGAAGUCGGAAUCGCUAGUAAGCGCAGAUCAGCAGGCUGCGCUGAAUACGUUCCCGGGCCUU
rnacentral:rRNA from 1 species